rnacentral:rRNA from 1 species
GACGAACGCUGGCGGCAUGCCUAACACAUGCAAGUCGAACGCGAAGCCGUGGAGAGUAAUCGAAGCGGGGGAGCGUGGCGAACGGGUGAGUAGAGCACGGGAAUCUGCCCACAGGAGGGAGAUAACCGGAGGAAACUCCGGAUAAUCUGCCAUAAAGCCGGGAGGCCAAAGCGAGAAAGUGCCUGUGGAUGAGCCUGUGUAUCAUUAGCCGGCUGGUGAGGUAAGAGCUCACCAGGGCGACGAUGAUUAACCGGCCUGAGAGGGUGAACGGUCACACUGGAACUGAGACACGGUCCAGACUCCUGCGGGAGGCAGCAGUGGGGAAUCUUGCGCAAUGGAGGCAACUCUGACGCAGCGAUGCCGCGUGUGUGAGGAAGGUAUUCGUACUGUAAAGCACUGUUACCGGUGAGGAGAGAGACGAUAGCCGGUAAGCAAGCCCCGGCCAACUACGUGCCAGCAGCCGCAGUAACAC